UUUCUAGAGGGGUUGGAACCCACCCCUACAUAGACAUACCCACCCCAAAUUGGUAACCCACCCCUACAUUUGGGUCCAAAAUUUCCUUACCCACCCCUACAUACGAGCCGAAAAACAAUUCGUUUUUUUCUACGGGAAAGCUGAUUUUAGACUUAUUUAUGGUCUCUCUAUGCAUACUAUAUACAACACUGAUAAAGUCUAUGUAUUCACUAAUAUUGUCAAUCAAGCAAGUUCACCAAACUCGCCAAAUAUCUUCUUCUUUGAGGCUAACUCUAUCUCUUCAUUGUAUCCAGUGGUACACUCCCGGACAGAUAGAUGAUGCAAUAACAUGGGGGCAAAAAUUGA